CAUCGAUCUGGCCCAUUAACCUGGCAACCUUAUAUCCGAGGCCCUCAAGUCUCUUCCAUGUCCCUUUCGCAGCUCUUCUUCAUAUUUGUAACUGUAUUUUCCCUUGUCUCCUGCUCGUGGUAACUCCAGCUUGGCAAUAUUUUUAACCCUUCUCGACAGAUCAGCCCCUUUUCCAUAUUCAGCACUGAAUUCCAUAUGGUAUUUAAAAGCAUGUUUCAAAGACCCUCCAAAAUUAAGAGCCCCCACAAUCCCAAACAUCUCACGGCCCAUUGCCAGAUUUGAAAAGUCCAAACAUCCCAGCAUAGGGGGGGUCAAUCCAGCCCCCCAUUUCCAAGCCAUACCAAACUUUUUCUUUCCAAAUCUGGCUUUUUCCAAGUUCAUUUGUCAAAUCCGAAAACUCAUAUUCCUAUUGGGCCUGUUCUGUCGGACACACUCCUGAUUUAAUUCCUGGGUGGGCUCCACAUAUUUUCCCACUGUCUGUUCAAAAUUUCCCACUGCCUGUUCAAAGUUUCUAGUCGAAGUCGUCAUCAAAUUCACCUUCUCAUGUAACUGUUCCAGUAGGGCAUUUGUUUUGUAGAAAGCACACAACAAAGCUUCUGAAUACAUUGUCCUGCAAGGUCAAAUGCCUAUUCCCACGAUUGUAA